AGUGGAGUACCUUGUCUCUCUUGGCUGCAGUUUCCGACUGAGGUACAGGACUGGUCGCUCUUCACCUGGGUCUCCCUGAGCCAGGACAGCACCAAGUCCGACUGCUGAGGCAUCCACUUGGACGAGGAACCUUUGAUCAAAGUCACGGGGUUUUUCUGCCUCUUCUCUGUAAGGGCAGUGAGAGGAGCUGCCAUGGUGGCGAACUGAUGGACAAACCGCCGGUACCAUCCAGCUAACCCCAGGAAGGAGCGUACCUCUUUCUUGGUGCGUGGUCGAGGGCAAUUGCGGAUAACUUCAACUUUAUCCACCUGCGGACGCACCUCACCACCUCCCAGCAGGCCUGCAUUUUGUAGUUUCCUCAGGACCAGACGCAGGUGAUCUAGGUGUUGCUCCCAGGUGUGACUGUAGAUCACCACGUCAUCCAAAUAGGCUGCACUACAGUGGUUACAUCCCUGCAGCACCCUGUCCAUCAGCCGUUGGAACGUGGCUGGUGCUCCAUGCAGACCAAAAGGCAUAACUGUAAACUGAAACAGUCCAGCAGGUGUUUUGAACGCCGUGUAUGGUCGACAGGUGUUGCUGAGAGGUACUUGCCAGUAACCCUUGCAUAGGUCAAGAGUGGUGAUGAAAUUAGCAGCCCCGAUCUUCUCCAGCAGGUCGUCAAUCCUCGGCAUUGGAUAUGCGUCGAACUCCGAAACUGCGUUCAGUUUCCUGAAGUCGAUGCAUAUCCGCAGUGAGUCGUCUUUUUUGGGAACGAUCACCACCGGACUGCUCCACUCUGAGUUGGACGGCUCGAUGACACCUAGCUCCAGCAUCUUCCUCACCUCAUCGUUCAGCCUUCCCACCAACUUCUGUGGUACCCGAUAAGGCCGUUGCCGGAUUGGUCGUCCAUCUUUGAGCCGUAUGGAAUGGCUAAUGAGUGUAGUUCUUCCUGGCUGUGCAGAAAAAAGAGAUGGCGUUUCACGAAAUAAGUCCAUUAUCUGUGUAGUCUGUUCCGGAGGUAAAUGUGACAGAGACGGAGGGGUUGAGUGAGUCAGUGCUCCCAGAUCAGAGUCCAAGUCUUCCUCAGUCUUCACAGCUCUGACUAGCAAAGACUUCUCUGUUGGAUGGUUAGCACCUUCCUUCCACUCUUUAAGUAGAUUCACGUGGUAUGUCUGCUUUUCUUUCUUUUUGUCAGGAUGGUGCACCUCAUAGGUGACAGGUCCCAUCCUGCGGAGAAUGGUGUAUGGCCCUUGCCACUUUGCCAGUAGUUUGCUGGUAGAAGAGGGAAGAAGUAGCAGAACCUUCUGACCUGGACAAACUGGAUCACACCCCUUUCUGAGGUCUUUGUGGAUUUGGCCUCCCAGCUCUUCUUGAGGAGAUCCAGUGGGCCUUGGACAUCCCAGCCAUAGAGGAGUUCGAAUGCAUCCUCUUCAGGGUCUGGUUGAAACGUUCCACCAAGCCAUUGGUCUGUGGGUGGUACGGUGUCGCCUUGAUGGCAGUGAUGCCAAGCUGCUGUUGGAACAGUUUCAUCAACCGAGAGGAGCUGUAAUGGUGCGCAGGGGAAAAGCUUCUGGGAACCGUGUAGCAUAAUCACAGACCACCAGGAUGUAUUCGUGACCGCUACUGCUCUUAGGUAAAGGUCCAACAAUGUCCAUGGCUAUUCUCCUGAAUGGAGUGGAAAUUAUAGGAAGUGGGUGUAGUAAUGCUCUGUCAGACUUGUGUGUUAUUGCAGUUUUCUGGCAGGUAGGACAUGUUGCACAGUACGUCUGAAUGUCAGUGUACAUUGAUGGCCAGAAAAAACGUGAACUAACCCGCAGAUAGGUUUUGUGACGACCCAGGUGACCCGCCCAUGGGAGUGUGUGCGCUAAUUGCAUGACGAGUGGCCUGCAGGUGGUUGGAAGAACUAACCGUAGGUGUUCACCUUCAGCUGCAUACAGAACAUCAUCAGCAACAAUAAACCGCACAUUUCCCAAACAUUUGUCACUCUCUGUUGUCACCUUGGCAAACAAUGGUUUUAAAGUUUGGUCCUCUUUCUGCAAAGCCGAAAUGUCAGCUGGUAUGUCAAAUGUUUCUGCUGUUGUUGUGAUCUCAGGAUCCAGCAACUUAAGUUUUUUCUCAAACCGUCUUUGACGACGGGAUUUUCUGGGCAUUUCUUUGCCUCCAUCAAAGAAAUCGUCAUCCAAACGUGGAAGACUUUGCAUUCCCGCUUUAGCCUGAGCUCUAGUUAGCACAGGUGCUGAGACAGUAACAGCUAGCUCAUCAUUAGCUUUAGCUGUUUCAGUAGCCUGUGUGCGAGCGUGUGUGCAUGCGUGUGCGCCUGCAGCGGCAGCUG